GCGGGGUUACCUGCUCGAAGGUGUGCCGGGCGGGGUGCGGGGAUGAUGGUCCCUUGGAAGCACUAGAUAUGCCAGGAGUGUCCAGAUUGUGGGUCUGCUGAUCUUCAGGCACAGAGCAGUGAUGGCAGCUCAGAACCAGGUGUCAAGGGUUGAAGCAUUUACUCCCCCAGACAAUGGAACUCUCACCUUUUCCAUGCACUCUCCUGCCUUCCAAUGCCUGGUUUCUUUCCUGCUCUUACCUGGCACUUUCACAAACACAUAUUUCAACCUCCCACAUUCCUGCAUUGCUGAGGAGACAAGUCUUUUACACUUGGAGGAAAAGAUAAUUG